UACGUAGGGGGCGAGCGUUGUCCGGAUUUAUUGGGCGUAAAGAGCUCGUAGGCGGUUUGUCGCGUCUGCUGUGAAAACCCGAGGCUCAACCUCGGGCCUGCAGUGGGUACGGGCAGACUAGAGUGCGGUAGGGGAGAUUGGAAUUCCUGGUGUAGCGGUGGAAUGCGCAGAUAUCAGGAGGAACACCGAUGGCGAAGGCAGAUCUCUGGGCCGUAACUGACGCUGAGGAGCGAAAGCAUGGGGAGCGAACAGG
rnacentral:rRNA from 1 species